rnacentral:rRNA from 1 species
AGAACGAACGCUGGCGGCAUGCCUAAUACAUGCAAGUCGAACGAACACUUCGGUGUUAGUGGCGCACGGGUGCGUAACGCGUGGGAAUCUGCCCUUGGGUUCGGAAUAACAGUUGGAAACGACUGCUAAUACCGGAUGAUAUCGAAAGAUCAAAGAUUUAUCGCCCAGGGAUGAGCCCGCGUAGGAUUAGCUAGUUGGUGAGGUAAAGCUCACCAAGGCGACGAUCCUUAGCUGGUCUGAGAGGAUGAUCAGCCACACGUGGGACUGAGACACGGCCCAGACCUCCGACGGGAGGCAGCAGUAGGGAAUAGUGGACAAGUGGGACGCAAGCCUGAUCCAGCAAUCGCCGCGUAGAGUGAU